CAACAACUCACUGAGCCAUCAAGAAACGGCAAAGGAAAAACACCGCUUUUGGGUGAAGGGGCAGCAUGUUGUGUUGCUUUGCUUCAAUCGGUGGUGUGACAAGG
rnacentral:snoRNA from 1 species